GUGAACGCUGGCGGCAGGCCUAACACAUGCAAGUCGAACGGCAGCAGCAGGAUCGAUCCUUUCGGGGUGAAAGCCUGGCUGGCGAGUGGCGGACGGGUGAGGAAUGCAUCGGAAUCUGCCCAGUCGUGGGGGAUAACGUAGGGAAACUUACGCUAAUACCGCAUACGACCCCAUAUCGAAAGAUGCGGGGCGAAAGCGUGGGACCGCAAGGCCACGCGCGAUUGGAUGAGCCGAUGUCGGAUUAGCUUGUUGGCGGGGUAACGGCCCACCAAGGCGACGAUCUGUAGCUGGUCUGAGGGGAUGAUCAGCCACACUGGAACUGAGACACGGUCCAGACUCCUACGGGAGGCAGCAGUGGGGAAUAUUGGACAAUGGGCGCAAGCCUGAUCCAGCCAUGCCGCGUGAGUGAAGAAGGCCUUCGGGUUGU
rnacentral:rRNA from 1 species